UCAGGCCUAACACAUGCAAGUCGUACGAGGUGUAAAUAAUUCACUUGUGAAUUGUUUAUUACUACAGUGGCGCACGGGUGAGUAACACGUAAGAACCUGCCUUUUGGAGGGGGAUAACAUAGGGAAACCUUUGCUAAUACCCCAUAAAGCUGAGGAGCUAAAUCGCAUUUGCGGCCAAGAGAGGGGCUUGCGCCUGAUUAGCUAGUUGGGGGGGUAAUGGCUUCCCAAGGCCACGAUCAGUAGUUGGUCUGAGAGGAUGAUCAGCCACACUGGGACUGAGACACGGCCCAGACUCCUACGGGAGGCAGCAGUGAGGAAUUUUCUGCAAGGGGCGAAAGCCUGACGGAGCAAUACCGCGGACCUUAAAGGGAUCGUGGUCUGUAAACUUCUUUCUCAGAGAAGAAGAU
rnacentral:rRNA from 1 species